CGAGGCUCAACCUCGGACUUGCAGUGGGUACGGGCAGACUAGAGUGUGGUAGGGGAGACUGGAAUUCCUGGUGUAGCGGUGGAAUGCGCAGAUAUCAGGAGGAACACCGAUGGCGAAGGCAGGUCUCUGGGCCAUUACUGACACUGAGAAGCGAAAGCAUGGGGAGCGAACAGGAUUAGAUACCCUGGUAGUCCAUGCCGUAAACGUUGGGAACUAGGUGUGGGUCUCAUUCCACGAGAUCCGUGCCGCAGCUAACGCAUUAAGUUCCCCGCCUGGGGAGUACGGCCGCAAGGCUAAAACUCAAAGGAAUUGACGGGGGCCCGCACAAGCGGCGGAGCAUGCGGAUUAAUUCGAUGCAACGCGAAGAACCUUACCAAGGCUUGACAUACACCGGAAUCACUCAGAGAUGGGUGCGUCUUCGGACUGGUGUACAGGUGGUGCAUGGUUGUCGUCAGCUCGUGUCGUGAGAUGUUGGGUUAAGUCCCGCAACGAGCGCAACCCUCGUUCUAUGUUGCCAGCACGUCAUGGUGGGGACUCAUAGGAGACUGCCGGGGUCAACUCGGAGGAAGGUGGGGAUGACGUCAAAUCAUCAUGCCCCUUAUGUCUUGGGCUUCACGCAUGCUACAAUGGCCGGUACAAAGGGCUGCGAAACCGCGAGGUGGAGCGAAUCCCAAAAAACCGGUCUCAGUUCGGAUUGGGGUCUGCAACUCGACCCCAUGAAGUCGGAGUCGCUAGUAAUCGCAGAUCAGCAACGCUGCGGUGAAUACGUUCCCGGGCCUUGUACACACCGCCCGUCAAGUCACGAAAGUCGGUAACACCCGAAGCCGGUGGCCCAACC
rnacentral:rRNA from 1 species